rnacentral:ncRNA from 1 species
CGAAGCCGUUCGAGCAGCGUCGUGUCGCGGCCCGGGACUGUCCUCAGUCCCGGGUCGUCUCGGCGCGGUUCCGAGCGGUCGCUCCCUCGCGAGGUGCCGCGGGUCAGCGGCUGACGCCAGCCACCUUCCCGACCCGUCUUGAAACACGGACCAAGGAGUCUAACAUGUGCGCGAGCCGCGGGGCAGUACGAAACCCGUAAGGCGAAAUGAAGGUGAACGCCGGCGCGGUCCGGCGGAGGUUGGAUCCCGUCCCGUCGGGGCGGGCGCACUACCGGCCGAUCUUCUCCGCCCUGUCGGCGAGGUCGAGCGAGAGCGUGCAAGUCGGGACCCGAAAGAUGGUGAACUAUGCCUGAGGAGGUUGAAGCCAGAGGAAACUCUGGUGGAGGACCGUAGCGAUUCUGACGUGCAAAUCGAUCGUCAAAUUUGGGUAUAGGGGCGAAAGACUAAUCGAACCGUCUAGUAGCUGGUUCCCUUCGAAGUUUCCCUCAGGAUAGCUGGCGCUCUGUCGCAGUUUUAUCUGGUAAAGCGAAUGAUUAGAGGUCUUGGGGGCGAAACGCCCUCAACCUAUUCUCAAACUUUAAAUUGGUAAGAAGCCCGACUCGCUCGUUUGGAGCCGGGCAUGGAAUGCGAGUGCCAAGUGGGCCACUCUUGGUAAGCAGGACUGGCGAUGCGGGAUGAACCGAACGCCGGGUUAAGGCGCCCGACGCGACGCUCAUC